GGGAGAGUGGCCGAGUGGUCCAAAGCGGCAGACUAUAAAUCUGUUGUAGAUUUUCUACGUAGGUUCAAAUUCUGCCUCUCCCA
rnacentral:tRNA from 1 species